GCAUAUCAAUAAGCGGAGGAAAAGAAACUAACAAGGAUUCCCCUAGUAACGGCGAGUGAACCGGGAAGAGCUCAAAUUUGAAAUCUGGCUUUCGGGCCCGAGUUGUAAUCUAUAGAGGCGUUUUCCGCGCUGGAUCGUGUCCAAGUCUCUUGGAACAGAGUAUCAAAGAGGGUGAUAAUCCCGUACUUAACACGACCACCAGUGCUAUGUGAUACGUCUUCUACGAGUCGAGUUGUUUGGGAAUGCAGCUCAAAAUGGGUGGUAAAUUCCAUCUAAAGCUAAAUAUUGGCGAGAGACCGAUAGCGAACAAGUACCGUGAGGGAAAGAUGAAAAGCACUUUGGAAAGAGAGUUAAACAGUACGUGAAAUUGUUGAAAGGGAAACGAUUGAAGUCAGUCGUGUUCAUUGGAUUCAGCUAGUUCUGCUAGUCUACUUCCUUUGAACGGGUCAACAUCAGUUUUGUCUGGUGGAUAAGGGUGAGAGGAAUGUGGCACCUUCGGGUGUGUUAUAGCCUCUUAUCGCAUACACUGGGUGAGACUGAGGAAUGCAGCUUGCCUUUUGGCCGGGGUUCGCCCACGUACAAGCUUAGGAUGUUGACAUAAUGGCUUUAAACGACCCGUCUUGAAACACGGACCAAGGAGUCUAACAUAUCUGC
rnacentral:rRNA from 1 species